AGGACAGGUAGCUCUGUGCCGAGAGCUCUGUGAAGCGGCGGGAAGUCCAUGGUUGAUCACUCUAGACUAUCAAUUUGACUCAGUGACAGUUGAAGCCUGAGGUGCCAUCAGCAUGGGGACCACGUGGCUGUGGCUGAUACAGUGCUCAGGACUGACCGGGGAGCUCCAGAUUCGGCCUGAACAUGCGCGGCUCUGCUGUUACCAAGUGUGACCACCAUCAGUUCACCGAACCUCUCCAUUUCUUUCAUCAUCGCCCAGGCGUGAGUGAAGAUGUAUGGUUCUUGACUUACUACGCCAAGCACGAUAUUCUCAAGAGCCUUCCACGUCGUCCCACAUGGCAGUCUUUCAACUCAGGGCAGGGAGCGGUCCACUGCGCAUGAGCACCACCUAUCUGUCUUUAUCCAGUCAUCUGCCGAAGGGCCCCGGUUGUUUCCAUGUUCCCCCACGGCUCGUCUGUCACCGCCUCCAGCUCUGCUUUCCUGCGCGGUGGCCUUGCCUUUCUGUCCCAUCUACGGCGUGCUCUACAGCCCACAUUUCCUUCAGAGCGCUGACCACAACCCAAUGUGCGGUUGUUUAUCCAUUUAUUUGUUGGCUGUGUGUCCCCCGCCCCGGGCGCAAACAAGGGCAGGGAUUUGUGUCUUCACUGCGGUGCCCUCAGGGGAUUAUGGGUGGU